UACGUAGGUGGCAAGCGUUAUCCGGAUUUAUUGGGCGUAAAGGGAACGCAGGCGGUCUUUUAAGUCUGAUGUGAAAGCCUUCGGCUUAACCGGAGUAGUGCAUUGGAAACCGGGCGACUUGAGUGCAGAAGAGGACAGUGGAACUCCAUGUGUAGCGGUGGAAUGCGUAGAUAUAUGGAAGAACACCAGUAGCGAAGGCGGCUGUCUGGUCUGCAACUGACGCUGAGGCUCGAAAGCGUGGGGAUCGAACAGG
rnacentral:rRNA from 1 species